AGAUCAUCGGGCCCUCGGGUUCAUAGGACUAUGAUAAGAUUCGGCCCUGAAAAGUACUUUAGAGAUCGUCUAGUUCAGCUCCAUAACUUUAAAGAUACAGAAACUGAAGCCCAGAAAGUGAAGUGAAUUUCUCAAAAAUCACACAGGGAAAAUGCCUUGCGGAUGUGGAAAUUGCAUGUGUACAAUUCAAAUGGACAGAAAGUGACCCCGGGACAGUGAAAAGGGAAGAACUGCAACAUAUACUUUCAAUAACGAGUUAUAACCCAAAUGCCCAGCAAAGGGGGAGAUAUCUCCCCUAGGUUUUUCCUUAAGCUACUGAGGAAGAGUGAAUUUUUGACUUACUUGGGGAUUUAAAAUAGUUCUGUUCUGUUUCUGCUUUUUAAGAUUCCUUACCAUCUAAGUAGUCAUUGGCAUCACUAGAAAUACUGUGGCCACAAGCAAGCUGUCAGAGGAACUCAUUUAUUCUUUGUUGAGAUGUUAGCUAUCCUACAAGAUAAAGGAAAGUGUAAUUACAAAGCCUGAAUGGAAAGGAUUGGAUUGAAAUGGGUAUUAUAUGUCAAGGCUCUAAAACCUACAACUUUUACUGGGGCUCUGUUUGUUACAUGUCCCUUGGUGAGAACCCUUGUCCAGAAACCUGAGAAACAACAUAUGCUGCUGAACAGUUGGGUCCUCCCCACUUCACGGUAACUCACGGAUGAAGUCAUCAAAGCAAUCUGCAACACUACUGGUGGCUUCACUAGUGGCAAUUGUCAUUUUGGCUUCUAACUUCUUUUAGUUUUCCUCAACACCAAAGUGUGAGGCAGCUUCUCACUUCCUGAAUUGUAGAUUUCCCAUAGAAAAAAAGAGUGAGCCUCAGAGACAUCCUGUUAAGAAUUUGGGCCAACAUGGCUGCCCAGCUGCCAUAUACCUACUUCAGCAAAACCUUGAAGUUUACAUCAGAUUGAAUAAUAGUUAAGAAUCCGGUGAGAAACUGGAGUAAGUUACUUCUUCCAUCCCAGAAGUGCACAAGAGGUCAGCAGGGAAGUAGGAAAAGGGGCCACUGACAAGGCCAGCACCAGUGCAGGGUAGUUUCCCAAUGUGAUCAGAGAUAGAUAACAAACACUCAUAGCUUGAAAGGCUCUGUGUCCAGCAGCAGCAAGGGUAGAGGAUUCCCUAGAGAAAGAACCAGGGUUCCUAGAAAGCCCCAGGGUGGUGACUUUAAAAGCCCUGGGGAGUAGCAGCGGGCAGCAGACAAUGCCUAUGAUUUAAAAAUAAAUAAACAACAAUAAUAAUAAGAAAUCAA